AGAAUACAGAUAAUAAACAUCACGAAAAUUUAAAAAAAUAAAUAAAUAAAAUAAAAUCUGUCUUCUUGACACAUUGGAGGAUGGAUCAAUGUUACGAAGAAACAAACAUUAUUAGCACUAAUGUGACAUCUGUUUCUCCCAUUGUCCUAUAAUGAGGCAUGAAUGAAAGAGGAUUUGAGAAUCUGGCUAAAAGACAGAUGACUGUCUCAUUUUAUUUUAGGUGACAGAGGUUCAUGUGAUUUCUUAAUACUCUACUGGGAUAGAAGUUUCUCAACAAUGGCUAUCUUAAUUUAGAAAGUUGUAUUAUACCAUCAUUAAAAAUAAAGCCUACUCUACUUCCCUGGUUUGUGAAGUUUAGAUGUAACCCAGAAUAUGAGAAUAUGAUAUAAAUAUACAAAUGUUAGUUAUGUGAAGCAAUAUAUAAUUGGUAAUUAUAAUUAUUAACUGUGACUAAUUUGUGUUGUUGAUAGCAUAAGGGAAAUAUAGACCAAACAAGCAAAUUGGUUUUAGUUCCUCAUCUGAUUUUUUGGUUGUGUUGUAGACUUGUCAUAACUUUUUGUCUUCCUGGAUAAGAGCUAACAGUUCAGGAAGACUGUGUUUUGUACAAACUUUCAGCUUUCCAACAUAUCAUACUGUGAAGCUAUUUUUUUGCAGCCACUUGGUAAGAGUUAUACAUAAAUUACAUAGGGAAUUUGAAUUAAAGGCAAUUGCACUUGGAGGUGGUGGUGGUUUAGUCACUAAGUCGUGUCCAACUCUUUUAUGACCCCACGGGCUGUAGCCCACCUCCUCUGUCCAUGGGAUGUUCCAGUGUUCUUGCUUAGAAAAUUCCAAGGACAGAGGAGCCUGGCGGGCUACAGUGCAUGGGGUUAUCAAGAGUCGAACAUGACUGAGCGACUGAACACACACGAGGACUGCAAUAAGAGGGUAGUAAUGUUAGAAUUGUUAUUUAAUGUCAGCAUGACAUUGAUUUUAAUAUUUUUUCACAUUUUGAAAAAUUCUCGAAAAAUAAAUAUAUCUCUAGAAAUGUAAGAUGUGCUAUAAUGGCCUUUUUUCAAUGUCUCUGGUUUCAUUUAUUUAAAG
ensembl:lncRNA